rnacentral:rRNA from 1 species
UCUAAUUGGAGCUUGCUCCGGGUAGAUUUAGUGGCGGACGGGUGAGUAACACGUGAGCAACCUGCCUUUCAGAGGGGGAUAACGUUUGGAAACGAACGCUAAUACCGCAUAACAUCUACUGGUGGCAUCACUGGGGGAUCAAAGGAGUAAUCCGCUGAAAGAUGGGCUCGCGCCCGAUUAGAUAGUUGGUGAGGUAAUGGCUCACCAAGUCUGCGAUCGGUAGCCGGACUGAGAGGUUGAUCGGCCACAUUGGGACUGAGACACGGCCCAGACUCCUACGGGAGGCAGCAGUGGGGAAUAUUGCACAAUGGGGGAAACCCUGAUGCAGCGACGCCGCGUGAGUGAAGACGGUCUUCGGAUUGUAAAGCUCUGUCUUCGGGGACGAUAAUGACGGUACCCGAGGAGGAAGCCACGGCUAACUACGUGCCAGCAGCCGCGGUAAUACGUAGGUGGCGAGCGUUGUCCGGAAUUACUGGGUGUAAAGGGAGCGCAGGCGGGGAGCCAAGUUGGAUGUGAAAUACCGCAGCUCAACUGCGGGGCUGCAUCCAAAACUGGUUCUCUUGAGUGAAGUAGAGGUAGGCGGAAUUCCUAGUGUAGCGGUGAAAUGCGUAGAUAUUAGGAGGAACACCAGUGGCGAA